ACCUCAGCGUUCUGUAUCUUGGCCGCGGCCUUUCCACGCGCUUUAAAUUUGCAUCGCUUUUCCUCUUGAGUACCUGAGGGGACCGCUCUGCAGUGCCACGAGGUGCAGAGCUGCGGGUCAGACGUUGGGCCUCCUUGUCCCGCCCUGCCGGCGAUGUGUGCUCUGCAGUGUGAACUUUCACUCAGAAACCAGCACUAGGAGUAAGAAGUGGGCGUUUACAUCAUUGUUCUUAAGGCAUCUAUCAGUGUCUACAGCAAGAUCCCAUCUGAUAAAGGACUGCUGGGAACAACUGACUGACAUUCGUUUGUCUUUGGAAGACUUAAUGGAAGACCUUCAUUUUAAAAUGGGACUUGAAGACCUCUGAAGCUCUAAGGCUGAAACCAACUCAACUGUUAAUACCACUGGACUGAAGUCAGCCCUACAGAUAACCAGUAGGACUUCUGUACGAAGCUAUAGUCAUGUGUUUUGCAUAAGGUCACAUUAAUUAUUUCAGCAACGCUAAUCCUAAAUUAACAAGGCUUAUAUAUGGCAAAUGACUUAUCUAUAUUAAAGAGGGCAUACAUUUCACCCCGCAAAAUUAGGAUGUUUGAAAGUGAUAUGCUGUCAAUAGAAAGGCUUGGGAAAGAAAAGAUCUUAUUAUACAUUUCCUUCCAGUGAAUAUUUGAAAGUCAUACUUCCUGCUACAAAUCCAUGAAGUAUCACAAUAUUUUUCUCUAAGCAGAAGUUUCUGUCUCGGCUCUUUGAAUCUCUUUUUAUGCCAUUGGUCCCUACGGCUUCUGUACCCUAGACCCAGUUAAACAUAGUUAAUGCAGGUUUGGGCUGUCAGUUCUGAGCUGGAAGGAAGAGAGAGUAUCCUCAAAGGUGAGCUUGCUCUCUAAUCUCCCUUUGUAGGAUGGAGGCUGAAUGCAGGCAGGUAAGGACAGUACUGAGGGGUGGAUUUCAGGAACAGGAACACAGUUCCUUUUCUUCUAUUUUUGGGAGAAGUGUAUAGAGACCUGUAUAGAGACCAGUCACCCUGCCAUGGAGCCGUAGGAAACUGGAAAGUGUAUGGCCUAGUUGAGCAGGAGCUCAAGUCCAGGGUGAAGGCAUAAUGAUUGCGUGUCUGAUGGAUGAAAGCUCAAAGCAGAGGUUGUGAUGGAGACUUCACUUGUAACUCAGGAUUUGGCCUCUUUCACCUGGUAAAACAGAGAUCUGGGAGAACUACAUCUUAUCAUUAAGAAUAACACAGGCAAAAACAGUAGAGAAGACCUCAGUGGCGUAAGAGUGGAUGGGUGAAUGCUGUCAUGCAUUUGGGUUUGUAAUUAGAAGAGUUUUUCUCAGACCAGUGGAGCAGCAACUUCUGCAACAGCCUUUCAGAGGAAUAGUCAGGGUGAAAAACAAGCUUUUAACUUUUAUUGAAGCUGACUAGAGUUAAGAUGAGCUUCCUGUUGUAAAGGUGAACUUACACGUGUGCUUUAAUAAGUUACCGAACACUUGUAAGGCAGAAUAUUAGAAUUAGGUGGCAUCACUUGUAAAUUGUUGUCAUGGUUAUUACUUAUUACCGUUGUAUCCAAGUGAGGUCAGCACCCUAUUGGCUGGAUGUGCUGACGGUGCAAAGAGCACUGCUGCUUUAGAUUUCUUUAAUUAGACAAGACAGACCAAAGGUAGCAAGGAAAACAGCAGCAGACAGAAACAAGGAAGUGAAGUGUCUUGCCCAAGGUCGCCCAGCAUCCCUCAUUUCUGUCUCCUGGUGUGCACCUUCUUCUCUUCCUGGAAUAAAAAAGGUGAAUUC
rnacentral:lncRNA from 7 species